GAUGAAGAACGUAGCGAAAUGCGAUAAGUAAUGUGAAUUGCAGAAUUCAGUGAAUCAUCGAGUCUUUGAACGCACAUUGCGCCCCCUGGUAUUCCGGGGGGCAUGCCUGUCCGAGCGUCAUUGCCGCCCUCAAGCACGGCUUGUGUGUUGGGCCCCCGCCCCCCGGCUUCGGGGGGCGGGCCCGAAAGGCAGCGGCGGCACCGCGUCCGGUCCUCGAGCGUAUGGGGCUUCGUCACCCGCUCUGUAGGCCCGGCCGGCGCCCGCCGGCGACCCCAAUCAAUCUUUCCAGGUUGACCUCGGAUCAGGUGGGAUACCCGCUGAACUUAAGCAUAUCAAUAAGCGGAGGA
rnacentral:misc_RNA from 1 species